AAAAAGAUGCCUGACUAAAGGAAUAUUCUGAUAGAAUAUAUAAAGAAAGUUAUUUUUCUCUUUUUA
rnacentral:tRNA from 1 species